rnacentral:rRNA from 1 species
CGUAGGUGGCAAGCGUUGUCCGGAGUUACUGGGUGUAAAGGGCGUGUAGGCGGGAAGAUAAGUCAGAUGUGAAAUUCCAUGGCUCAACUGUGGCGCUGCAUCUGAAACUAUUUUCUUGAGUGAUGGAGAGGAAAGUGGAAUUCCUAGUGUAGCGGUGAAAUGCGUAGAUAUUAGGAGGAACACCAGUGGCGAAGGCGACUUUCUGGACAUUAACUGACGCUGAGGCGCGAAAGCGUGGGGAGCAAACAGGAUUAGAUACCCUGGUAGUCCACGCUGUAAACGAUGGAUACUAGGUGUAGGAGGUAUCGACCCCUUCUGUGCCGGAGUUAACACAAUAAGUAUCCCACCUGGGGAGUACGGCCGCAAGGUUG